ACGCCAUAAGCGAUCGACAAUCGAUAAUUCGAACUGAAACAACAUGAACGUCAUAGAUGAUUAUUAAUAAAUCGUAUCGUUGAUUUUUUAUGCCGAUUUAGCAAUGACUGACGUAUUAUAACAAAGCAGAGUUUUUCAUAAUUUUUACUAUUUCCUGUGCUUUGGGAAGGACGCAGUGAUGCUUCAAAACUAAGCAUGUUUAUCACUCCUUCCUCUUCCUCCUGCUUCCUGAAAAGGACCUAGUGGUGUUUCAAAAGUCAAGAAUUUUUUUCCAUGAUGGGAUUGCAUGACUCCUCCUUGAUAACGGUCUUCACGACGACUUUCCCUGGGCUACCAUAGCAUCGAUGACUACGUUCCUCGCAUCUUAUCGUGAGUCGCAUGCAUUUUUGUCCCUCCGGUCACUCAAUCAUGUCGUAGGACGAAAGGUCCGAAUCGACACGGGUGACUGGUUGUAUUACGUAGAAAUUUUUGCGAGCAUAGUGACCGCGGGUAUUUUUUAUACCCGUGAGUAGUAACAUUC